GACGAACGCUGGCGGCGUGCUUAACACAUGCAAGUCGAGCGGAGCUGCGAACGGGUGAGUAACGCGUGAGUAACUGCCCCCCUCUCUGGGAUAACAGUUGGCAACGGCUGCUAAUACCGGAUCGUUGGGGAUGACUCGCGUCCUAUCAGCUUGUUGGUGGGGUAGUGGCCUACCAAGGCGACGCCGGGUAGCCGGCCUGGGAGGGCGACCGGCCACAUGGGGCUGAGAUACGGCCCAAACUCCUACGGUAGGCAGGAGUGGGGAAUAUUGCACAAUGGUGGAAACCCGGAGGCAGCAACGCGCGUGCGGAAUGACGGCCUUCGGGUUGGAAACCGAUUUCAGCCAUGACGCGGUAGUGGCAGAAGAAGCACCGGCUAACUACGUGCCAGCAGCCGCGGUAAUAC
rnacentral:rRNA from 1 species